rnacentral:rRNA from 1 species
AAAGUUUUUUCAAAUUAGGGGUUGCAGGCUGUCAGGAACUCCCUAUAAUGCGCCUCCACUGACCGGGAACAACGAAACAACUUCGCCGGGUCAGGAAGCGAAAAGAAUGAUUUUGACUUCGAAAG